UACAGAGGCGGCAAGCGUUGUUCGGAAUUAUUGGGCGUAAAGAGCACGUAGGCGGCUAUGUAAGUCUGUUGUGAAAGCCUUCCGCUCAACGGAAGAACUGCAGCAGAUACUGCAUGGCUAGAGUGCGGGAGGGGAGAGUGGAACUUCUGGUGGAGCGGUGAAAUGCGUAGAUAUCAGAAGGAACGCCGGCGGCGAAAGCGACUCUCUGGCCCGUAACUGACGCUGAGUGUGCGAAAGCUAGGGGAGCAAACGGG
rnacentral:rRNA from 1 species